AGAACGAACGCUGGCGGCAGGCUUAACACAUGCAAGUCGAACGCGUGUAGCAAUACACGAGUGGCGCACGGGUGAGUAACGCGUGGAUAUCUGCCUUUUGGUUCGGAAUAACCCCGGGAAACUGGGGCUAAUACCGGAUGGUUCCUACGGGAUAAAGAUUUAUCGCCAAAAGAUGAGUCCGCGUACGAUUAGCUAGUUGGUGAGGUAAUGGCUCACCAAGGCGACGAUCGUUAGCUGGUCUGAGAGGACGAUCAGCCACACUGGGACUGAGACACGGCCCAGACUCCUACGGGAGGCAGCAGUGGGGAAUAUUGGACAAUGGGGGCAACCCUGAUCCAGCCAUGCCGCGUGAGUGAUGAAGGCCUUCGGGUUGUAAAGCUCUUUUGGCGGGGACGAUGAUGACGGUACCCGCAGAUAACGCCCCGGCUAACUUCGCGCCAGCAGCCGC
rnacentral:rRNA from 1 species